rnacentral:rRNA from 1 species
UCCGUAGGUGAACCUGCGGAAGGAUCAKUUA